UACGGAGGGUGCAAGCGUUGAUCGGAAUUAUUGGGCGUAAAGCGUGCGCAGGCGGUUUGUUAAGUCUGCGGUGAAAUCCCCGAGCUCAACUUGGGAAUUGCAGUGGAUACUGGCAGGCUGGAGUAUGGUAGAGGAAGGUGGAAUUCCCGGUGUAGCGGUGAAAUGCGUAGAGAUCGGGAGGAACACCAGUGGCGAAGGCGGCCUUCUGGACCAAUACUGACGCUCAUGCACGAAAGCGUGGGGAGCAAACAGG
rnacentral:rRNA from 1 species